GGCCUCCUUGUUCUUACCACAGGCUAUGUUCUUUAUACUUAUUGUAUACAGAGAGGAGUUGCAGUAACCCCACUCCAUAAACACUUCAGUCCAACUCUCUUUCUGAUCUGUAUUGUGAAUGGGGGACAUGG